GAGGGUAUAGCUCAAUGGUAGAGUGUGUGUGCUUAGCAUGUACAAAGUGAGAUCCUGGGUUCAAUCCCCAGUACUUCCA
rnacentral:tRNA from 1 species